UACGUAGGGUGCAAGCGUUGUCCGGAAUUAUUGGGCGUAAAGAGCUCGUAGGCGGUUCGUCGCGUCGGCUGUGAAAACCUGAGGCUCAACCUCAGGCCUGCAGUCGAUACGGGCGGACUUGAGUACUGCAGGGGAGACUGGAAUUCCUGGUGUAGCGGUGAAAUGCGCAGAUAUCAGGAGGAACACCGGUGGCGAAGGCGGGUAUCUGGGCAGUAACUGAUGCUGAGGAGCGAAAGCGUGGGGAGCGAACAGG
rnacentral:rRNA from 1 species